rnacentral:rRNA from 1 species
GCAAUACGGAGCGGCAGACGGGAGAGUAACACGUGGGAACGUGCCCUUCAGUUCGGAACAACCCAGGGAAACUUGGGCUAAUACCGGAUACGUCCGUAAGGAGAAAGAUUUAUCGCUGAAGGAUCGGCCCGCGUCUGAUUAGCUAGUUGGUGGGGUAACGGCCCACCAAGGCAACGAUCAGUAGCUGGUCUGAGAGGAUGAUCAGCCUCACUGGGACUGAGACACGGCCCAGACUCCUACGGGAGGCAGCAGUGGGGAAUAUUGGACAAUGGGCGCAAGCCUGAUCCAGCCAUGCCGCGUGGGUGAUGAAGGCCCUAGGG